rnacentral:snRNA from 1 species
GUCACUACUGGUAGCAUGAGGCAGUACCUGCAGCCUACAGAGAAGAUUAGCAUGGCCCCUGUGCAAGGAUGACUCACAAAUUUGUGAAGCGUUCCAUAUUAAA